rnacentral:rRNA from 1 species
GAUCUUGGUUCAGGAUGAACGCUGGCGGCGUGCCUAACACAUGCAAGUCGAGCGGAGAUAAGUGAAGCCUAGCGAUUCUUAUCUUAGCGGCGGAUGGGUGAGUAACACGUGGGUAACCUGCCCUGCACUGGGGAAUAACAGCUGGAAACGGCUGUUAAUGCCGCAUAUGCGCACGGAGCCGCAUGGCUUUGGGCGGAAAGAUUUAUCGGUGCAGGAUGGGCCCGCGCCGGAUUAACUAGUUGGCGGGGUAACGGCCCACCAGGGUGAUGAUCCGUAGCCGACCUGAGAGGGUGACCGGCCACAUUGGGACUGAGACACGGCCCAAACUCCUACGGGAGGCAGCAGUGGGGGAUAUUGCACAAUGGGGGAAACCCUGAUGCAGCGACGCCGCGUGAAGGAUGAAGUAUUUCGGUAUGUAAACUUCUAUCAACGGGGAAGAAGAUGACGGUACCCGACUAAGAAGCCCCGGCUAACUACGUGCCAGCCGCCGC